UGCAGUCGAGCGAGCAGAACCAGCAGAUUUACUUCGGUAAUGACGCUGGGGACGCGAGCGGCGGAUGGGUGAGUAACACGUGGGGAACCUGCCCCAUAGUCUGGGAUACCACUUGGAAACAGGUGCUAAUACCGGAUAAGAAAGCAGAUCGCAUGAUCAGCUUAUAAAAGACGGCGUAAGCUGUCGCUAUGGGAUGGCCCCGCGGUGCAUUAGCUAGUUGGCAAGGUAACGGCUUACCAAGGCAAUGAUGCAUAGCCGAGUUGAGAGACUGAUCGGCCACAUUGGGACUGAGACACGGCCCAAACUCCUACGGGAGGCAGCAGUAGGGAAUCUUCCACAAUGGACGCAAGUCUGAUGGAGCAACGCCGCGUGAGUGAAGAAGGUUUUCGGAUCGUAAAGCUCUGUUGUUGGUGAAGAAGGAUAGAGGUAGUAACUGGCCUUUAUUUGACGGUAAUCAACCAGAAAGUCACGGCUAACUACGUGCCAGCAGCCGCGGUAAUACGUAGGUGGCAAGCGUUGUCCGGAUUUAUUGGGCGUAAAGCGAGCGCAGGCGGAAGAAUAAGUCUGAUGUGAAAGCCCUCGGCUUAACCGAGGAACUGCAUCGGAAACUGUUUUUCUUGAGUGCAGAAGAGGAGAGUGGAACUCCAUGUGUAGCGGUGGAAUGCGUAGAUAUAUGGAAGAACACCAGUGGCGAAGGCGACUCUCUGGUCUGCAACUGACGCUGAGGCUCGAAAGCAUGGGUAGCGAACAGGAUUAGAUACCCUGGUAGUCCAUGCCGUAAACGAUGAGUGCUAAGUGUUGGGAGGUUUCCGCCUCUCAGUGCUGCAGCUAACGCAUUAAGCACUCCGCCUGGGGAGUACGACCGCAAGGUUGAAACUCAAAGGAAUUGACGGGGGCCCGCACAAGCGGUGGAGCAUGUGGGUUUAAUUCGAAGCAACGCGAAGAACCCUUACCAGGGUCUUGACAUCUAGUGCCAUCCUAAGAGAUU
rnacentral:rRNA from 1 species